rnacentral:rRNA from 1 species
CUUGGUCAUUUAGAGGAAGUAAAAGUCGUAACAAGGUUUCCGUAGGUGAACCUGCGGAAGGAUCAUUAUUGAAUAAACCUGAUGUGACUGUUAGCUGGCUUUUCGAAGCAUGUGCUCGUCCAUCAUCUUUAAUCUCUCCACCUGUGCACAUUUUGUAGUCUUGGAUACCUCUCGAGGCAACUCGGAUUUUAGGAUCGCUGUGCAGCUUUCCUCUCAUUUCCAAGACUAUGUUUUUAUAUACACCAAAGUAUGUUUAAAGAAUGUCAUCAAUAGGAACUUGUUUCCUAUAAAAUUAUACAACUUUCAGCAACGGAUCUCUUGGCUCUCGCAUCGAUGAAGAACGCAGCGAAAUGCGAUAAGUAAUGUGAAUUGCAGAAUUCAGUGAAUCAUCGAAUCUUUGAACGCACCUUGCGCUCCUUGGUAUUCCGAGGAGCAUGCCUGUUUGAGUGUCAUUAAAUUCUCAACCUUCCAGCUUUUAUUAGCUUGGUUAGGCUUGGAUGUGGGGGUUGUGGGCUUCAUUAAUGAGGUCAGCUCUCCUUAAAUGCAUUAGCGGAACUUUUGUGGACCGUCUAUUGGUGUGAUAAUUAUCUACGCCGUGGAUGUGAAGCAGCUUUAUGAAGUUCAGCUUCUAAUCGUCCAUUGACUUGGACAAAUUUUGACAAUUUGACCUCAAAUCAGGUAGGACUACCCGCUGAACUUAAGCAUAUCAAUAAGCGGAGGA